AGUCGUAACAAGGUCUCCGUUGGUGAACCAGCGGAGGGAUCAUUAUCGAGUUUACAACUCCCAAACCCUUAUGUGAACAUACCUACUGUUGCUUCGGCGGACUCGCCCCGGCGUCCGGACGGCCUCGCGCCGCCCGCGGCCCGGACCCAGGCGGCCGCCGGAGACCCCCAAACUCUGUAUUAUCAGCAUCUUCUGAAUUCGCCGCAAGGCAAAACAAAUGAAUCAAAACUUUCAACAACGGAUCUCUUGGUUCUGGCAUCGAUGAAGAACGCAGCGAAAUGCGAUAAGUAAUGUGAAUUGCAGAAUUCAGUGAAUCAUCGAAUCUUUGAACGCACAUUGCGCCCGCCAGCAUUCUGGCGGGCAUGCCUGUUCGAGCGUCAUUUCAACCCUCGACUUCCCUUUGGGGAAAUCGGCGUUGGGGAACGGCAGCAUACCGCCGGCCCCGAAAUGGAGUGGCGGCCCGUCCGCGGCGACCUCUGCGUAGUAAUCCAACUCGCACCGGAACCCCGACGUGGCCACGCCGUAAAACACCCAACUUCUGAACGUUGACCUCGGAUCAGGUAGGAAUACCCGCUGAACUUAAGCAUAUCAAUAAGCGGAGGAA
rnacentral:misc_RNA from 1 species